UUGAAGCAGAGAUGCUUCGAAUUUUGAAGCAGUCGCUCAUUCGAUUUUGGUGUUUGCAGUGAACGGAUGUAUCAAGUCAAAAGUGAUUGAUUAUUGUCAUCGAAAAACGGAUUAAAGGAUUUUUGGAAAUCAGUCAGUUAUAUUAUCGUGGAGAAACAGUCGACAUUUCAUUUUUAUUUUUCAAUUGUUUGAGCUCAGAUUUGGAAUCAAAAUCAACUUGUCGAUUUGAAUAUAAUUUUCAAAAAUGAUAGUGAAAUUGAUUUUGUUAUCAUCAUUUUACCUGUUGGUGUUGACAAUGGCCUUUCCACUCGGUGAAACGAAAAUAGAAAAAGAAGCAGAGAAACGUGUUGACAACAGUUCCACUACUCAGAUACCCUGCCCGAGUGACAACAAUUGCAUCGAUGGAGUAGAUAGAACAUUUACGGAUGUUGAUUUUGAUUUAGGAUGUCAAAAUAAAAAUGAAAUUCGAAACGUUUAUGGCGAAUGCAUAGACAGAAGUUCAAUAAUAAUAUUUCAAUACGAAAAGUGACAUUCAUUGCAAUAUUAUUAGAAAUAAAAAGUGCUUCAUUGAAUGAAGAAUCGGUUGUGUUUUUAAAUCCCCUAAGUGAAGAAAUAUUUUAUUAUAAAUCAGUAAUUUAAUCAGUAAUUCCUGGAAAACCCGAAAAUAUGGAUGACCAAUCAUAUCAUCUGCACACAGAAUUCGUAAACAACCGGACACAGUGCUAUUUUUUAUUCUAUCUGGUCAUAUUUACUCUGACCUUUUCCUGAAGAUGCAAAUCACAAUAUUAUACACCAAAUGAAGCCGCACACUUCAACACACAGAGAAUCGUUUUCUAUGUACAAUUGGCAUAUGAGUUCAUUCAAAGCGAUAAGAUUUGUCGAAAAUAUUUGUGUUUACUUUUUCUUUGAAAUCGUAUUGAUUUUGAUAAGGACUAAAACAUUCUUAAUGAGGGAAAAUUUUUACACAGAUCUUUUUGGGUAUUUGAAGUGAACGCACCACAUCGAAUAACAACUCAUAACUGUUGAAUAAAAUCAAAUUAAUUUUACUUCAAGCAAAUCAUUUGAAAAAAUACGUUUGGAAAUGGGAAACAAAUUGAUUUUUAUGGUUUUGUGUUGCCUGUUGUUGCUGACACAUGGAGAAGGACGAUUGCCACAGAUUCAAUAUGGCUCUAAUGGUGUUGAGAUGGGUCAUCUCAUUGGCGCUACUGGCAUUCGUAUUUCUGCCGUUGGUGAUAUAAGCUAUAAAAUGCAACGUCCAUGCCCGAAUAAGAAUGAAAUAAGGGACGUUGAUGGAGAUUGUUUCGACCCAUUUGAAUUUACACAAUAUUGAUUAAAGACACACAUGAAUCAAAGCUCCAGAUGAUCCAGCAUUUCAGUAAUAUCUUAUCAUUAAU